UAGGAGAAACUUCCCUUUGUUCUUCA
rnacentral:piRNA from 1 species